ACGGGUGAGCAACGCGUGGGAAUCUACCGUGCCCUGCGGAAUAGCUCCGGGAAACUGGAAUUAAUACCGCAUACGCCCUACGGGGGAAAGAUUUAUCGGGGUAUGAUGAGCCCGCGUUGGAUUAGCUAGUUGGUGGGGUAAAGGCCUACCAAGGCGACGAUCCAUAGCUGGUCUGAGAGGAUGAUCAGCCACAUUGGGACUGAGACACGGCCCAAACUCCUACGGGAGGCAGCAGUGGGGAAUAUUGGACAAUGGGCGCAAGCCUGAUCCAGCCAUGCCGCGUGAGUGAUGAAGGCCUUAGGGUUGUAAAGCUCUUUCACCGGAGAAGAUAAUGACGGUAUCCGGAGAAGAAGCCCCGGCUAACUUCGUGCCAGCAGCCGCGGUAAUACGAAGGGGGCUAGCGUUGUUCGGAAUUACUGGGCGUAAAGCGCACGUAGGCGGAUAUUUAAGUCAGGGGUGAAAUCCCAGAGCUCAACUCUGGAACUGCCUUUGAUACUGGGUAUCUUGAGUAUGGAAGAGGUAAGUGGAAUUCCGAGUGUAGAGGUGAAAUUCGUAGA
rnacentral:rRNA from 1 species